UACGAAGGGGGCUAGCGUUGCUCGGAAUCACUGGGCGUAAAGGGCGCGUAGGUGGUUGAGUAAGUCAGGUGUGAAAGCUCUGGGCUUAACCCAGGAAUUGCAUCUGAUACUGCUCGGCUUGAGUACGGUAGAGGAGGGUGGAAUUCCCAGUGUAGCGGUGAAAUGCGUAGAUAUUGGGAGGAACACCGGUGGCGAAGGCGGCCCUCUGGACCGAAACUGACACUGAAGCGCGAAAGCUAGGGGAGCAAACGGG
rnacentral:rRNA from 1 species